CUCUGUGACUCCUACGGGAGGCAGCAGUGGGGAAUAUUGCACAAUGGGCGCAAGCCUGAUGCAGCCAUGCCGCGUGUAUGAAGAAGGCCUUCGGGUGUAAAGUACUUUCAGCAGUGAGGAAGGCGGAGUCGUUAAUAGCGGCCUCGUUUGACGUUAGCUGCAGAAGAAGCACCGGCUAACUCCGUGCCAGCAGCCGCGGUAAUACGGAGGGUGCGAGCGUUAAUCGGAAUUACUGGGCGUAAAGCGCAUGCAGGUGGUUUGUUAAGUCAGAUGUGAAAGCCCGGGGCUCAACCUCGGAAUUGCAUUUGAAACUGGCAGACUAGAGUACUGUAGAGGGGGUAGAAUUUCAGGUGUAGCGGUGAAAUGCGUAGAGAUCUGAAGGAAUACCGGUGGCGAAGGCGGCCCCCUGGACAGAUACUGACACUCAGAUGCGAAAGCGUGGGGAGCAAACAGGAUUAGAUACCCUGGGAG
rnacentral:rRNA from 1 species